UCGCUUGAAGAUGGGCGUGCGCCUGAUUAGGUAGUUGGCGGGGUAAUGGCCCACCAAGCCUACGAUCAGUAACUGGUGUGAGAGCACGACCAGUCACACGGGCACUGAGACACGGGCCCG
rnacentral:rRNA from 1 species